rnacentral:rRNA from 1 species
GGGUAGUUAAGUCAGAAGUGAAAUCCAAUAGCUCAACUAUUGAACUGCUUUUGAAACUGAUUACCUAGAAUAUGGGAGAGGUAGAUGGAAUUUCUGGUGUAGGGGUAAAAUCCGUAGAGAUCAGAAGGAAUACCGAUUGCGAAGGCGACCUACUGGAACAUUAUUGACGCUGAGACGCGAAAGCGUGGGGAGCAAACAGGAUUAGAUACCCUGGUAGUCCACGCCCUAAACGAUGUACACUAGUUGUUGUGAGGCUCGACCUUGCAGUAAUGCAGUUAACACAUUAAGUGUACCGCCUGGGGAGUACGGUCGCAAGAUUAAAACUCAGAGGAAUAGACGGGGACCCGCACAAGCGGUGGAGCAUGUGGUUUAAUUCGACGAUACACGAAGAACCUUACCUGGACUUGACAUAGUAAGAACUUUCUAGAGAUAGAUUGGUGUCUGCUUGCAGAAACUUAUAUACAGGUGCUGCACGGCUGUCGUCAGCUCGUGUCGUGAGAUGUUGGGUUAAGUCCCGCAACGAGCGCAACCCUCGUCAUUAGUUGCUAACAGUUCGGCUGAGAACUCUAAUGAGACUGCCUACGCAAGUAGGAGGAAGGUGAGGACGACGUCAAGUCAUCAUGGCCCUUACGUCCAGGGCUACACACGUGCUACAAUGGGGUAUACAAAGAGCCGCAAUACGGUGACGUGGAGCAAAUCUCAAAAAUAUCUCCCAGUUCGGAUUGUAGUCUGCAACUCGACUACAUGAAGUUGGAAUC